UGGAGUAAAAGCUGAAAGCAUAAAAGCUAAAAGCAGCCUCAGGUUAGUAGCGCUAGCUGAGUGUCAAGCAGCCUCAGGUUAGUAGAGCUAGCUGAGUGUCAAGCAGCCUCAGGUUAGUAGAGCUAGCUGAGUGUCAAGCAGCCUCAGGUUAGUAGAGCUAGCUGAGUGUCAAGCAGCCUCAGGUUAGUAGAGCUAGCUGAGUGUCAAGCAGCCUCAGGUUAGUAGAGCUAGCUGAGUGUCAAGCAGCCUCAGGUUAGUAGAGCUAGCUGAGUGUCAAGCAGCCUCAGGUUAGUAGCGCUAGCUGAUUGUCAAGCAGCCUCAGGUUCAUUGAGCUAGCUGCGUGUCAAGCCGCCUCAGGUUAGUCGAGCUAGCUGAGUGUUAAGCAGCCUCAGGUUA